rnacentral:rRNA from 1 species
ACGCUGGCUACAGGCUUAACACAUGCAAGUCGUGGGGAAACGGCAUUAUGUGCUUGCACAUUCUGGACGUCGACCGGCGCACGGGUGAGUAUCGCGUAUCCAACCUGCCCCUUACUUGGGGAUACCCCGUUGAAAGACGGCCUAAUACCCGAUGUGUUUCAUUGACGGCAUCCGAUAUGAAACAAAGGUUUUUCCGGUAAGGGAUGGGGAUGCGUCUGAUUAGCUAGUUGGCGGGGCAACGGCCCACCAAGGCGACGAUCAGUAGGGGUUCUGAGAGGAAGGUCCCCCACAUUGGAACUGAGACACGGUCCAAACUCCUACGGGAGGCAGCAGUGAGGAAUAUUGGUCAAUGGACGCAAGUCUGAACCAGCCAAGUAGCGUGCAGGAUGACGGCCCUAUGGGUUGUAAACUGCUUUUAUGUGGGAAUAAAGUGGCGCACGUGUGCGCCAUUGCAUGUACCUCAUGAAUAAGGACCGGCUAAUUCCGUGCCAGCAGCCGCGGUAAUACGGAAGGUCCGGGCGUUAUCCGGAUUUAUUGGGUUUAAAGGGAGUGUAGGCGGUCUGUUAAGCGUGUUGUGAAAUUUAGGUGCUCAACAUUUAACUUGCAGCGCGAACUGUCAGACUUGAGUACACGCAGCGCAGGCGGAAUUCAUGGUGUAGCGGUGAAAUGCUUAGAUAUCAUGAGGAACUCCGAUCGCGAAGGCAGCCUGCGGGAGUGUUACUGACGCUUAAGCUCGAAGGUGCGGGUAUCGAACAGGAUUAGAUACCCUGGUAGUCCGCACUGUAAACGAUGGAUGCCCGCCGUUGGCGCCCUGCGCCUGCGGCCAAGCGAAAGCAUUAAGCAUCCCACCUGGGGAGUACGCCGGCAACGGUGAAACUCAAAGGAAUUGACGGGGGCCCGCACAAGCGG